rnacentral:rRNA from 1 species
AGGUAAGCUACUAAGAGCGAAUGGUGGAUGCCUUGACUGGUAAAGGCGAUGAAGGACGUACUAGACUGCGAUAAGCUACGGGGAGCUGUCAAGAAGCUUUGAUCCGUAGAUUUCCGAAUGGGGCAACCCAAUGUAUAGAGAUAUACAUUACCUAUAUAGGAGCGAACGAGGGGAAUUGAAACAUCUUAGUAC